UAGCAACCUAUAUAAAGAAGAAAAACGGUUUAGAUGAAGAAACAACACGUAAAUUUACAAAACAGAUACUAGAAGGUUUGGAAUACCUACAUCAAAAUAAAAUACUACAUCUGGAUAUUAAAGGCACUAACAUUUUAAUUGAGAAUAAAAUAGUGUUAAGAUAGCUGACUUUGGGCUUUCAAAAUUAAUUACAAAAGAGCAUGAUCUCCAGGCCAUAAACGGUUGUGGUACACCUGGGUUCACAGCACCUGAAGUGUUGGCAGGCGACCUAAAAUUAGAGUUCUAUUCCAAAGCUGACAUUUGGAGUGUUGGGUGUACGGUCGUUCAAAUGCUAACGCAAAAGCGACCAGACAAUUCCCUUCGAUAUGAACAGCAUGUCUAUAAGCUGGCUACUCUACAAAAGCCAUCGUAUAAACUUCCGCCAAACUCGUCUGAAGAACUAAAAGAAUUUUUAGAUAAAACUUUCAUCAUGGAUCCUCAAGAGAGACCUUCAGCUAAGCAAUUACUGCAGUUUGAUCGUUUUCUGCUGGGCCCAGCUUCUAUAUCUGAUUAAAAUUAUUUGAAAAAAACGGCAUAAAUCAUUAAUAACAAAUAUAAUUUACGAUAUAUUAGAAUCACAGCUAAAAUACGUGUUUAAAAUAUAAAAGAACAUAUUAUAUAGUGGUCUGCUUUAAAAAAUACAAUGAAAAAUAAUUUUUUCUUUAGAAUAUAGCUUUGUUCAUUUCAAGAUGCAUUCAAAUAAUAUUUUUUGGCAUUUUAUAUAAUGAAUUAAUUUUAACUAAUUUAUUUUUAAUGGUUUUACUGUACAAUGUUUUUUUAUAUCAAUAAAUAUUAAAUGUUAGCACAUACUUCUCAGAUGCAUGUGACAGUGUGGUUUAGCGGUACCGCUCUAUUCUACUUAUGCUAUUCUAUUUAUACUCGAGUUCGAAUCAAGGUUCAAAUCAGUAGAAAAUAACUAAAUCCACCUGAUGUGUACCAAACUCAUGUUAUGUUAAAGGCUUCUGUGCAUAUUGCCUACGAUACUAUCCUUUCCUAUACCGAAGAGCAGGUGAACUCUAGGUCAUUUGCCACAUAGACCAGUUGGCUCGAAAAGGGUACACCACUUUUUCUUACUUUACUGGUAUAAUGUAAACACUUUAUCAAAUUGGUUAAAUCCAAUAUAAUCAUGAUGUUAACAAAGUUAAUUUUUUAUACAUUCUUAUUUUUUGUUCUCUUGGUUCAGAUUAGUAGAGAAGACCUAUUUUACUGUUGGAGUUAACUAUUCAUUUUUUUUGUUUUGUUAGAAAUGUGUGAAAAAUUUCACCCUAGUUCAUGAUGAGUAAAUGUUUUUAUUUCUCGUUUGACUUCAUUGCUUCGUUAAAUGGUAUAUUCCUAAAGCAAUGUCUGAAAUUAUGAUUGCUGUGUCGAUUUAACGCAAUUUCUCAAUAGCAAUACAAUGUAUGCAUAAAUCAGGAAAAAUAACGUCCAUUUCCCGAAUAAUAAUCGACUAUGGCAAUAUCCAAAUGACGUAGUUUAAAGAAAGGCUGUUUAGUCAGCAACCGCUAUUUUUAAAUAGAUAUAAAAUAUUAUUUAAUUUUAUUCAUAUAUUUUUUUUCUU